CAACCCUCGAACCCCUCCGGGGGGUCGGCGUUGGGGAUCGGCCGUCUGACGGCCGGCCCCGAAAUACAGUGGCGGUCUCGCCGCAGCCUCUCCUGCGCAGUAGUUUGCACACUCGCACCGGGAGCGCGGCGCGUCCACGUCCGUAAAACACCCCAAAUUUUUUGAAA
rnacentral:misc_RNA from 1 species